CCCCUCUGCACGCUGCCUCCCAGCCGUUCUCUGAGACUGGGCGGAUCUCCCAUCAGCCCGCCAGCUCCUACCCAGAAUCCUCCAGGUCUGCAGAUGGACAGACAGAGGGACACAACGGCGGUGUCUCCAUGGAAAGCUCCUCCUCCAUCAGUCCUACUCCUCCAGGCUCCGCCCC